GCCCCCAGUGCCAUCCCUUCCCAUGGCAACGGAGUGGUUGGCAUGACCUUUGCACCCCAGUGGGGAGGAGCUGUGUGCGUGCCCAGUGGAUGGCUCGAGCAACUGCGAAAUUUAGCAGCGGCUCCAAGUAGAAAGGGCAGAACCAAAAUCUAGCUCAUGGUAAAGGAUGCAACCCAGAUUCUUCUUCCUCUCCCCUGUGUGGGGUUUAUGUCUCAGCUGAGCACUUGAGAAUCUCCAGUCUCCUGUGAGAGGAUAAACAUCGUGGGAGGAGGAAGCUCCGCCAGCGCUAUGCCAGGGAAGAUCGUGAGGAAAAGGGUCUCCAAACUCCAUCUGCUCUGCGCCUCCGCUGGAGACCAACGAAAGGACCUGAGGGGAAAGAAUGAUGAGGAGAGCAAAAGGGUAAACCAGCAGAAAAAUGCCCUGGCAUCCAGGAGGAAGAACAUGGAAGGCUGCGGCACCCUGUGGGAUGGGGGACGACAUGGACUUUUCUGUCCAUGUUAUGUCUGCACUCCACUCCCGGGAACAGUCUAGGUAGCUGCAGAAGGAAGGAGGCAGUUUGCAGGCUAUAAAGAGCAAGAGUGUGACUCAGAGCCCGAAGGGAGGGACUAGCAAUUGUUCCAGAGAGAGAUGAUGAUGUGCUGCGGGGAAGGAACAAAGAAGCAGGAGAGGAGGGACCCGGAAGUCUACACUCCUCUAGGGGCACAGGGCAUCAAGGGGGCACUGCCAGGAAAGGAACAGAUAGCCUCUGCCCUUACCCCAGACCCAUCCUCCCGCCCCAAAUCUGAGCAACUCGGAAAGAACCCUCUAUCCUCUGAGAUGAUGUCACAGCCCCAAAACUACACUCCAAAGUGACAGUCAAAUGAGAGCAAAAUCCCAGAGUCUCUGUGGUAACCAUUAUAUAUUCAUACCCUAAUAGAUCUGUAUUAAAUUUCACAACCCAGACGCUGAUGUAUUUAAUCUACCUUGCCUCCUGCUUUACCAAACACAGGAAUGGAUUUUUUUUUCUGUUUUGGCCACAUAUUCCUUCAAGAACAUCUAUUUUUAACUUGUAGUUGUCAUGUAAGACUUGCCAGGGAUAAUACAAGAACAUAUAUAUGAAUCACCGUGGGCCAAUGAAUUUAAAAAUAACUGAGACAUCACCAAAGAACAUCUGAUGCCUCCUGGAAAACAUGAAAAGAAAAUUGGAUUUAGAAAUAAUUAUGCUUUUCCAUCACCCACUUUUUUCUGCUCUCGGCUCUCUCUCUUGACUCCCCACUGCUGCUGGGAGCCACGUUGCCUGGAAGGAAGCUAGUUUUCUUUGCUGGGAUGGCCAUUUCCUCCAACAGCCACACCCAGCAUAUAAUGCUGCACCUGAGCCCCCGCCAACCACAAACCUGCUUUCCCAUAACUAACAUCUUGGCCUGUGUCCGGUGAUUUGCAGUUUUAAAAUAUCCAGAUGGAUAGAGAGAGGAAGAGACAGAGAGCUAGGGAAAUCAGACUUGGAGAUUGCCACUUGCCUGAGGCCAGUGACAAUUUACA